ACAAUAAAAGAAACAUAACACUCUAAUUGACGUUGCACUCUCAAAAUAUUGUCCCGUCCCUGUCAAAGUUGUAAAACCCUAAAUCCCCAAAUCUCAGAACCUACCCAAGCUACAAUCAUAAUCACAUCUCUCAUUCUCUGUCAACAUGGAGCUCUAGAUCCGAAAGAUACCCAUUUGCACUUAUCGGUCAAUAGGUGGGUUCGGACCAAAGUGCUCGGAAUAAAAUGGGUCUUCCGCUACUUGAUCACUCACACCUAAGGAUGCGUUUCUCACUCGGCUGAAUCCACACCAUUCAAUAUUGUAAUUACUUCUCAUAAAGCAAAGGUUAAAAUCCUUUUUGACAAUAAGAAAUUUAUUAUGGAUGAACUCAAACAAUAAAAGAACAGUUAUCAGUAGAACUUUUUUGAAGAAUUGUUAUUAGCUCAACAACGUGAGGUCCAGCUUCCAACAUCAUCCAAUUCAGGAGAAGACCAUUAACGUGAAGCACAUACAGGGUCUGAAGAGUUUUAGUUACAAGUCAAGAUGAGAGUUUUGAAGACUCCAUUGCAAGUAGCUAGGAAAAAUAUUGUAUUUUAUUAACAGGUUGUGUAAACAGUACCGUGGUUAUAUUGUUACAAGCUGUAACUAAUUACCCAUUUCUACAUUUGUAAAUCAAUAUUUAUAUAU